rnacentral:rRNA from 1 species
GUCAACGGCCAUGCCACCCUGAACAAACCCAAUGUCUGAUCUCAGAAGCUAAGCAGGGUCAGGCCUGGCUGGUACUUGGAUGGGAGACCACCUAGGAAGACCAGGUGCUGUAGGCA